rnacentral:rRNA from 1 species
UUUAUGGAGAGUUUGAUCCUGGCUCAGGAUGAACGCUGGCGGCGUGCCUAAUACAUGCAAGUCGAGCGAACGGACGAGAAGCUUGCUUCUCUGAUGUUAGCGGCGGACGGGUGAGUAACACGUGGAUAACCUACCUAUAAGACUGGGAUAACUUCGGGAAACCGGAGCUAAUACCGGAUAAUAUUUUGAACCGCAUGGUUCAAAAGUGAAAGACGGUCUUGCUGUCACUUAUAGAUGGAUCCGCGCUGCAUUAGCUAGUUGGUAAGGUAACGGCUUACCAAGGCAACGAUGCAUAGCCGACCUGAGAGGGUGAUCGGCCACACUGGAACUGAGACACGGUCCAGACUCCUACGGGAGGCAGCAGUAGGGAAUCUUCCGCAAUGGGCGAAAGCCUGACGGAGCAACGCCGCGUGAGUGAUGAAGGUCUUCGGAUCGUAAAACUCUGUUAUUAGGGAAGAACAUAUGUGUAAGUAACUGUGCACAUCUUGACGGUACCUAAUCAGAAAGCCACGGCUAACUACGUGCCAGCAGCCGCGGUAAUACGUAGGUGGCAAGCGUUAUCCGGAAUUAUUGGGCGUAAAGCGCGCGUAGGCGGUUUUUUAAGUCUGAUGUGAAAGCCCACGGCUCAACCGUGGAGGGUCAUUGGAAACUGGAAAACUUGAGUGCAGAAGAGGAAAGUGGAAUUCCAUGUGUAGCGGUGAAAUGCGCAGAGAUAUGGAGGAACACCAGUGGCGAAGGCGACUUUCUGGUCUGUAACUGACGCUGAUGUGCGAAAGCGUGGGGAUCAAACAGGAUUAGAUACCCUGGUAGUCCACGCCGUAAACGAUGAGUGCUAAGUGUUAGGGGGUUUCCGCCCCUUAGUGCUGCAGCUAACGCAUUAAGCACUCCGCCUGGGGAGUACGACCGCAAGGUUGAAACUCAAAGGAAUUGACGGGGACCCGCACAAGCGGUGGAGCAUGUGGUUUAAUUCGAAGCAACGCGAAGAACCUUACCAAAUCUUGACAUCCUUUGACAACUCUAGAGAUAGAGCCUUCCCCUUCGGGGGACAAAGUGACAGGUGGUGCAUGGUUGUCGUCAGCUCGUGUCGUGAGAUGUUGGGUUAAGUCCCGCAACGAGCGCAACCCUUAAGCUUAGUUGCCAUCAUUAAGUUGGGCACUC